rnacentral:misc_RNA from 1 species
UACGGCGGGUGCAAGCGCUAAUCGGAAUUACUGGGCGUAACGCGCACGCAGGCGGUCAGUCAAGUCGGAUGUGAAGUCCCCGGGCUCAACCUGGGAACUGCAUCCGAAACUGGCAGGCUAGAGUCUUGUAGAGGGGGGUAGAAUUCAAGGUGUAGCGGUGAAAUGCGUAGAGAUCUGGAGGAAUACCGGUGGCGGAGGCGGCCACCUGGACAAAGACUGACGCUCAGGUGCGAAAGCGUGGGGAGCAAACAGG